ACAAAUUACCAGAAUGCCCUUGGACGACCAAAAACCCUACUUAUGUCAUUUCUAAGCCAUUGUUGACGGCUACGCUUUCUUUACACCAUUAUUCUUGUUUUAGUGUUGGAGAGAAGAUCAAUUCACCUUCAGAGAUUGAUUGGAACUCCAUUGAUUUUAUUAUUGUUUUCUAUUCUAUUAUAUUAUCCAGACUAUGAUUUGUGUUUCUUCUAUCAUGUCUGAGUACUUCAUGAGCUUAAUGUCAAACUGAUAAUCAAUUAGGAUUGCUAGGUUAUCUAUAGAACUUCUACACCAGGGUGAUUUGUAAUACUAGGAUCUGGAAUAGUUUUUUUCAUAUAAAAGUGUGACUGAUUAUUUGAACCUAGAAUCAUAGGAGAAUUGAGAUGCACUAAAGUGCAGUCAAUUAACGGAACCCA
rnacentral:lncRNA from 1 species